rnacentral:rRNA from 1 species
GACGAACGCUGGCGGCGUGCUUAACACAUGCAAGUCGAACGGUGAAGCGCCUUCCUUUUUGGUGGGUGUGGAUGAGUGGCGAACGGGUGAGUAACACGUGAGUAACCUGCCCCCUUCUUCUGGAUAACCGCAUGAAAGUGUGGCUAAUACGGGAUAUUCUGGGUCUGUCGCAUGAUGGGUCUGGGAAAGAUAUUGUUUCGGUGGGGGAUGGGCUCGCGGCCUAUCAGCUUGUUGGUGGGGUGAUGGCCUACCAAGGCGGUGACGGGUAGCCGGCCUGAGAGGGUGGACGGUCACACUGGGACUGGGACACGGCCCAGACUCCUACGGGAGGCAGCAGUGGGGAAUAUUGCACAAUGGGCGCAAGCCUGAUGCAGCGACGCCGCGUGAGGGAUGGAGGCCUUCGGGUUGUGAACCUCUUUCGCCAGUGAAGCAGGCCUGCCUCGUUUGUGGGUGGGUUGACGGUAGCUGGAGAAGAAGCGCCGGCUAACUACGUG